AUUGAACGCUGGCGGCAGGCCUAACACAUGCAAGUCGAGCGGAUGAAGGGAGCUUGCUCCUGGAUUCAGCGGCGGACGGGUGAGUAAUGCCUAGGAAUCUGCCUGGUAGUGGGGGAUAACGUCCGGAAACGGGCGCUAAUACCGCAUACGUCCUGAGGGAGAAAGUGGGGGAUCUUCGGACCUCACGCUAUCAGAUGAGCCUAGGUCGGAUUAGCUAGUUGGUGGGGUAAAGGCCUACCAAGGCGACGAUCCGUAACUGGUCUGAGAGGAUGAUCAGUCACACUGGAACUGAGACACGGUCCAGACUCCUACGGGAGGCAGCAGUAGGGAAUAUUGGACAAUGGGCGAAAGCCUAAUCCAGCCAUGCCGCGUGUGUGAAGAAGGUCUUCGGAUUGUAAAGCACUUUAAGUUGGGAGGAAGGGCAGUAAGUUAAUACCUUGCUGUUUUGACGUUACCAACAGAAUAAGCACCGGCUAACUUCGUG
rnacentral:rRNA from 1 species